rnacentral:rRNA from 1 species
GACGAACGCUGGCGGCGUGCCUAAUACAUGCAAGUCGAACGCUGAAGGAGGAGCUUGCUUCUCUGGAUGAGUUGCGAACGGGUGAGUAACGCGUAGGUAACCUGCCUGGUAGCGGGGGAUAACUAUUGGAAACGAUAGCUAAUACCGCAUAAUAGCAGUUGUUGCAUGAUAACUGUUUGAAAGGUGCAAUUGCACCACUACCAGAUGGACCUGCGUUGUAUUAGCUAGUUGGUGGGGUAACGGCUCACCAAGGCGACGAUACAUAGCCGACCUGAGAGGGGGAUCGGCCACACUGGGACUGAGACACGGCCCAGACUCCUACGGGAGGCAGCAGUAGGGAAUCUUCGGCAAUGGACGGAAGUCUGACCGAGCAACGCCGCGUGAGUGAAGAAGGGUUUCGGAUCGUAAAGCUCUGUUGUAAGAGAAGAACGAGUGUGAGAGUGGAAAGUUCACACUGUGACGGUAGCUUACCAGAAAGGGACGGCUAACUACGUG